UACGAAGGGAGCUAGCGUUGUUCGGAAUCACUGGGCGUAAAGCGCACGUAGGCGGAUGUGUCAGUCAGGGGUGAAAUCCCGGAGCUCAACUUCGGAACUGCCCUUGAUACAGCACGUCUUGAGUCCGGAAGAGGUGGGUGGAAUUCCUAGUGUAGAGGUGAAAAUUCGUAGAUAUUAGGAAGAACACCGGUGGCGAAGGCGGCCCACUGGUCCGGUACUGACGCUGAGGUGCGAAAGCGUGGGGAGCAAACAGG
rnacentral:rRNA from 1 species